GCAACUCGUCAAGAUAGUUGCCCCGCGGAGUCCCGAUGAAAAUCGGUACGAAGUAGGGAGGAAAGUCCUGGCACCAGAAAGCAAUGAUCCGUGCGUAAGCACGGCCGGCGCGAGCCGAGACCACGUGCAACAGAAAGUAUACCGCUACCGCUGCCUAGCAGCGAAGUAAGGGUGAAACCGUGGGGUAAAAGCCCACGAUCGCGCAGAGUAAUCUAUGCGGAUUGUAAACGUAUGGUGGUGCAAGUUGGCAGGACUCAAAUCAUCAACUACUCUCUAAAGGAGUAAAACCCGCGCUUUCCGGCGAUGCCUCGAGUCCCAACGCUUAGAGAAAUAACUAUCCAAGACAGAACCAGGCUUACUGGCGGGUUGCAGCA
rnacentral:RNase_P_RNA from 1 species